UGUGAAUUCUCACCUCGGGGCGACGCGGGGAAACUCUAAAUAAGGCUGAAGGUCUCAACCAAGGAUUGAAGUCACGUUGAGCAUCGGCGUGAUUUGAUACAAUUCUCUUUAUUUGUAUGAGUCAGCGGCGGUCUGUUCAGCAGGACACAAAGAAACACAAGAUUUCCUGCAAAGUCAUAACAAAGAACUGCGGGGAAGGAACCUGAUGCAUGGGAGAGGAGCCGCGGCGAUGACAGCG
rnacentral:lncRNA from 1 species